rnacentral:rRNA from 1 species
UGAGGAAUCUUGCGCAAUGGGGGCAACCCUGACGCAGCAACGCCGCGUGAGUGAUGAAGGCCUUCGGGUCGUAAAGCUCUGUCAGGUGGGAAGAAACUCCCCAUGGUAAAUAAUCAUGGGGAUUGACGGUACCGCCAGAGGAAGCACCGGCUAACUCCGUGCCAGCAGCCGCGGUAAUACGGAGGGUGCUAGCGUUGUUCGGAAUUAUUGGGCGUAAAGAGCGUGUAGGCGGUCGGGUAAGUCAGAUGUGAAAGCCCUUGGCUUAACCAAGGAAGGGCAUUUGAAACUGCUUGGCUUGAGUACGGGAGGGGGAAGCGGAAUUCCCGGUGUAGAGGUGAAAUUCGUAGAUAUCGGGAGGAACACCGGUGGCGAAGGCGGCUUCCUGGACCGAUACUGACGCUGAGACGCGAAAGCGUGGGGAGCAAACAGG